CACGGGGCCAGCCCCAGCAAAAGACAAUUUUAAGUAAAGAACAAUAAAACAUUUUAAAAAACAGAAACAUAAGCAACUUGACUGAAGUAACAACUAACAUAGUAACCAUGAUAAUAAAUGUAAAUGGCUUAAAUUCUCAUAUUUGAAAAACUAAACCCAUGCUAUCCCAAGAUAGGUACUUAAAACAAAGAAAAAAAAGUAUAAGAAUAAGGAAUGAUAAACUAGCAAAUAUAUUAUACACACAGACACACAAUCUAUAAAGAAAUCAGGAUCACAAUAUUUUUAUCAAAGUAGAAUUGAAAGCAAAAAGCUUAAGUGAAAUUUAGAUAAAUAAAUAUUGACAAAGUGAACAACCCAUAAAGAAAACAUAACUGUCAUAAACCCUUUUAUGCCACAUAAUAUAGAAUAAAAAUAAAGCAAGAAUUCUUAGACAUUCAGGGGAAAAUCAAUAGAAAUAUAAUAGUAAUGGGAGACUUUUAGCCAACAUCUUUGACAGCUCAGAAAAGUAAUACACAUACAACACUAUACUAGUAAGUUAAGAAGCACUCCAAGAGUAUUUCAGUCAAUGCCAAGUUGGUCAGGACAAUAACUUUGCUCAUUUUAGAGGCUGUAUUUUUCUUAAUAAAGCAUGCUGUAUGUGAGUUUCUUUGGCAUCCCCAUACUGUAGAUUUACACUUGGCUUAUGCUGUCUACAAACCUCAUUUGCACAUGUAUUGCUAACAAACGAUUCUCCUCUACACAGGAGAUCUAACCAGACCCAGGAGCUAUAAAACCUAGACAGGUUUCACUGUGGAUUUGGAGGAAGAAGAAAUAGUAUGGGCUAUAAGAUUUCUUGUAACUAUUAAACUGUGAGAUAUUUCAAAACAAUGGGUCCUAGUAAAUGAUCAGAUGCUAGAAUGAGAAGGUUUGGGAUCUUCCAAGUUAGUUUUCAUUCCCUGAGGCUAGAUCAUACUUCCACAAACAUAAAUGAGGGAGAUGGGAAGAGUGGCAAGGUUAAGGGGAAUUUGAUGGGUGCCCGUGAGGACAUUUUGAAUUUGCAGUAAUGAUGAGACAGCUCACUGGAGAUGCUUUGCAGGCUGUUGGAAAUGCAGAACAGGAUCUGGGUUGGAAAUAUGGCUUGGAGAGUGACCAUCACAAAAGUGAGUUAAAGCCCACAAUUCAAGUAAUUAGGGAGAGGACAGAGGAUUGAAAAAGCCUGUGAAAGCCAAGUGAUGGAGACAUUGAAAGCCAAACAAGAGAAGUUUGUGCAUGACAUGGUAGGCAAUGUAAAGCGAGCAAAGUUUUAGAUCGGAGAAGUCAUUCUAAUUAUCAGGAAAUUCUAAUUUUUAAGCCUAAUUUCACCUCCCUACAUGUCUAUCAGCUGAUGCUGCUUCUGCCCUCUGGGGUCACACAGACUGCAUCUGCUCCCUCUUCCACAUGACAAUAGAGAGAAGAGCAGAAACAACACUCAGCCACCGUGAAGUUCACAGGACUCUCAGGCAAGGCCUUUUGAGAAGGCACAGUGCACUCUGAGAAAGCCACAUUAAUCAUCAACCCGGGAAACUGGAACACUCUACAAAACCAUUGCUAUAAAUUCAAUAUUUACACAAAAUCUGGAGGUUGAAGUUCUUGUUACUACAGGGAAAGAAAACAUGAAAAGCUGCCAGAAAGAGAAGCCACUUGCUACCUAGACUAAUCAAAUUCAUACUUAGGUGCAACACUCUCAUUUUACAGCGAAGGAAACUGAGUUGCCAAAAGACAGUGUCUCGACCAAUAAUACUUCCUUGCACUUUACAAUUCCCACAUGACUGUGCCCAUUGUGAGUUGAGGAGACUGUAGCCCCCAGGGCACAAUGACCUGCCCAGUGUCACACAGCACAUAAGCAUCCAAGAUAAUAGUUAAACCCAGUCUCCCUAGUACUCAACCACACAAACCAACCAAAGCACGCUGGACAGAAAGAGAGAAAAUUAGCUGUGAGUGUCUAAAGAAGCAAAUCCACAUAAAUCUCAUUUGGUCUGUUCUUUCGUAAGAUGAAAACCCCUGGUGAUGGAGGAACCUGCAUAUACUUUGCUGAGUUUUGGGUGAAGUCACUAGGAGCCUCUCUACUGAUUUCUACAAAGAGAUAGUGUCUGUGAGCUUCCUGCAAGAAAGCUGCCCAGGGACCUUGUUAGAAGUAUGGUUUGGCUGGAGCCUAGCCCAGCCUUCUUGGGUCAGAAUCUCAGGGUGGGGCCCUGGAACCUGAAUUCCUAACAAGCCUUCCCAGUGGAUCUUACACAAACUCAAGUGCAAGAGCCGCUGGAGUUUACAUACUUGACGAAACAGCACAUGAAGAGUGAAUCCAGAUCUCAGCCCCAAGCCAGGGGUCAAACCAAACAGGGAUCACCGUCCGGCCUUCAGUCCCCGGGCCCCCAUGCACCCUUCUGACCCCUGCUCAUUGCUCAGCUCAGCCCAGCCCAGAAUUAGUCCUCUUGAAGGACACCCCUCUAACAUUUUAAUUUCCAAAACCUGUCAUAAAAGCAGCUCGUCUCUCCUAAUGAGGUAAUUGGUGCCAUAAUGCCAUUAGGAAGGUGCCCCUGGUGUGCGGCUCAAUUAGGAAAGGUGUAUUAAAUGAUUUAGAUUUCUUUAUUUAGCUAAAACCAACACCAGUUCUAGGCUUGCUAAUAUAAUGUUGUUCAUGAGCCAGAGUAUGGGGCUCAUUUAAUUCUAUACUGUAGCUCUCUAACUAAUUGAUGCGUUAUCCUUUCUUACCCCCACUGCCCAAUUUUUCUUCUCCCAAUGCUGGAAACAGAGAAAGAGAGAGAAAGAGAAAGAAAAACACUGAAGUAUCAGAUGGCAAAAGGGAGAACCUACAUAAGACUGAUUGCCAGCCAGACUGUGACAGACCCACCUUCCGGAGGGAUAGGACUCCCUAUGUUAAGAGCUGACCUUGCAGGUUCAUUCUGGGCAUAAACUGAACCUAGACACCUAAAGAACCCCAGGAUGGCGGGCCUGGUUGCAAUGUCCCCAGCCUGUGAGCUCCUGCUGCUCUCUGGGCCAGCCUCAGGGAGGCCUAAGUUGGGAUCAUCUAGCCUUCUUACUAAAAGUGUAGCCCAUGGGCCAGCAUAGGCAGCAUCACCUGGGAGCUCAUUGGAAAUGCAGAAUCCCGGGCCCCACCCCACACUAUUCAAUCAGAAUCUGGAUUUAACAAGACCCUCAGUGAUCCUUCUGCACUUUGAAAUUUGAGAAGCUCUAGAUCCUUCCAGUAUAAAUCAGAACUUCCCAGGACCCCCUCAGAGAGAUCUACCUACCACAAGCCACUCCAUGCCCACCCCAAUGGCACCAUUUUUCUUUUCUUAAACGUGGAACUGUUCUCAUGGGAGAAAAAUCUUUUUUUUUCUUAUUUUAAAGAAAAAGCCCAAAGAAACAGAAAAGACCAAGAAAGGGUUUCUGCACUUGAGAAGUUCAAAAGCCUGUAUUUCAUUUUACUCACAUAACCACAGAAGUCUCCCCCAUCACACCCAACGGCUGCAGCUCGGCCUCUGCCAAGCCACAACCAAAGGAAAAGCCAGAAGGAAAACACUUUCUGACACAGGAGAGCCAGGAACAUCAAUACAGAGACCAACCUUGCAACCUCACGGAACCACAGCGUGCGGGAGCGGGAAGGGGCCUUAGAAGUCAUUGCCCAUCCCUUCAUCCUACAGAACAAGAAACUGAGGCCCACACGGACAAGUGAUUGCUCAACCCCUCCAUGCCCGUGAGUGGCACAGGCGGCUGGAAUUGGGCCCAGGUGCCUUGUCUCCGGUUCUCUUUCCAUCACACCAGGAGCACUUGGGAAAUUUGUGCAAGGACCUCCUCGAGGCCAGUGGGCAAAAGCCAUUUCACAAAUUUGCGCAAUAGAAACUGUAUUCUUCUUCAGCAAAUGUAACAUUAGCCGGUGGUAACCACUGCUGUGGAGAGGUGAUCCUGAGGAUCCAGUUUGGCUGCUGGUCUCCAGAUUACAGAUCAACCAGAACGUUACACAGAAAGUGAGAAUUAGCCGGAGCCCGUCUCAAAAACACGACCGGAAUUGAACAUCAGCAGGCCACUGCAGUCUACCUUUGGUGCUGGCGAGAAGACUGGCCCCACCAGCUCAGUGGAUGCCUCCACAACUGGCUGAUGGUUUGGUUGUCCCAAGUCAUCAUUUUUUUUCUUCAAAUACACAAAGCCCAACUUGAGGACCAAGACAAAACAACAUAAAUGUCCUUUAAAGCAAAAGUCCCAACCCAGCAACCCAGAACCUAGCAGACCCCAAGGAGCUCAGAUCCAAAAUGACCUCGUAACGACAGUGGAAAAACCCACACGAGAAAACCUUUCGUGAGGAGGGUGCUUCAUAAAAUCCAGCUGAAUAAAACCUCAUUUCUCUAAA